rnacentral:rRNA from 1 species
UACGUAGGCAGCAAGCGUUGUUCGGAGUUACUGGGCGUAAAGGGUGUGUAGGCGGUUGUUUAAGUUUGGGUGUGAAAUCUCCCGGCUCAACUGGGGAGGGUGCGCCGAAUACUGAAUGACUUCGAGUACGGGAGAGGAAAGUGGAAUUCCAUGGUGUAGCGGUGAAAUGCGUAGAUAUCAGGAGGAACACCGGUGGUGUAGACGGCUUUCUGGACCGUAACUGACGCUGAGACACGAAAGCGUGGGUAGCAAACAGG